rnacentral:ncRNA from 1 species
UCUUAUCAAGAGCGGUGGAGGGACUUGGCCCUAUGAUGCCCGACAACCAACAUUCUAUUUAAUGUAUGGUGUUAAUUCCAACAGAUUAUUCUGAAAGAUAAGA